rnacentral:pre_miRNA from 1 species
UUAACUCAAAUUUCUAUGGAGUUGGAACAUUUGCCUAUGUUUACCACUAGGGGCACUGUUCAAAUUGCAUACUUUGAGUUA